rnacentral:rRNA from 1 species
CGGACAGAGCUGGCGUAUCUGGCCUGUAUUCAGCCGUGGACUCGCUGGCGUCAGGGAUGCCGCUCUCCAGAUUGGGACGGUGGCCUGUCUGCUGGUUGGUCUGAGGUGCAUUUGCAGGUGGAGUGCGCUGAGGCGCUCGGGACAGCGGCAUGAGCUCAGUGUUGAGGCCAGCCCCUCACGGGGUCUGGUACCCGCAUUGUGGGGAGUGCUGUUUGUCCUGGGUGGAAUUGUUGUGUGGGCAAUGGCAUCGGGCUCGUGUGGGUGCCGAGCUGGCAGUCGGUGGCGGUCGCAUGCGACACGUGCCAGCGGUCAGUUCGGUCCUGCUCGAGCUCUCAUCUGCCCGUCCUCGGUGUAAAAGCCGGUCAUCUGUCCGACCCGUCUUGAAACACGGACCAAGGAGUUUAGCGUGUGCGCGAGUCAUUGGGCGUUGAAAACCCAAAGGCGCAAUGAAAGUGAAGGUCUCCCUUGCGGAGCUGAUGUGUGAUCCUGGGUGCUGCGGUGCCUGGGCGCAACAUAGUCCCGUCCCGAUCGCAUGCGAUGGGGCGGAGACAGAGCGUACGCGCUGAG